CCUACGGGGUGCAGCAGUGAGGAAUAUUGGUCAAUGGGCUUACGCCUGAACCAGCCAAGUCGCGUGAGGGAAGACUGCCCUAUGGGUUGUAAACCUCUUUUGUCAGGGAGCAACGCCGGCUACGUGUAGCCGGACUGAGAGUACCUGAAGAAAAAGCAUCGGCUAACUCCGUGCCAGCAGCCGCGGUAAUACGGAGGAUGCGAGCGUUAUCCGGAUUUAUUGGGUUUAAAGGGUGCGUAGGCGGAAUGCCAAGUCAGCGGUAAAAGCGCGGGGCUCAACCUCGCUCCGCCGUUGAAACUGGCGUUCUUGAGUGGGCGAGAAGUAUGCGGAAUGCGUGGUGUAGCGGUGAAAUGCAUAGAUAUCACGCAGAACUCCGAUUGCGAAGGCAGCAUACCGGCGCCCAACUGACGCUGAAGCACGAAAGCGUGGGUAUCGAACAGGAUUAGAUACCCUGGUAGUC
rnacentral:rRNA from 1 species